CCAGAGGGUCGGGCGGCCGCGGCUCCUGCUAUGCAGGGGGCGAGGAAAGUCCGGGCUCCACGGAAAAACGGUGCCGGGUAACGCCCGGCGGGGUGCGCAAGCGCUUCAGGGACAGUGCCACAGAGAGCAGACCGCCACGCUUCGGCGCGGCAAGGGUGAAAGGGUGCGGUAAGAGCGCACCGCGGGACCGGCAACGGAACCGGCAUGGUAAACCCCACCGGGAGCAAGACCGAAUAGGGGCGGCACAUGGGCCUUUUUCCGGCCCGUCGCCCGGGUUGGUUGCUUGAGGCGCGGAGCAAUCCGCGUCCUAGAGGAAUGGCCGCACAGCCCGCGCAAGCGGGUGGACUGAACCCGGCUUACAGACCCUCUGGCAUU
rnacentral:RNase_P_RNA from 1 species